GACGUAGGAUGCAAGCGUUGUCCGGAUUUAUUGGGCGUAAAGAGUUCGUAGGUGGUUUGUUAAGUCUGAUGUUAAAGACUGGGGCUCAACCUCGGAAAUGCAUUGGAUACUGGCAGACUUGAGUGUGGUAGAGGCAAUCGGAAUUCCAGGUGUAGCGGUGAAAUUCGUAGAUAUUCGCAAGAACACCAGUGGCGAAGGCGGCUGACUGGUCCGGUUCUGACGCUGAGGCGCGAAAGCGUGGGGAGCAAACAGG
rnacentral:rRNA from 1 species